GAAAUAAGCCUCCCCCUCGUCCAUGCCCCUUAUGUCAAGGGAAUCACUGGAAGGCCCACUGCCCCAGGGGAUGAAGUUCCUUUGAGUCAGAAGUCACUAACCAGAUGACCCAGCAGCAGGACUGAGGGUGUCCGGGGCAAACUCCAGCCCAUGCCAUCGCCCUCACAGAGCCCCAGGUAUGCUUGACCAUUGAGGGCCAGGAGGUUAACUAUUCCCUAGACACUGGUGCGGGCUUCUCAAUCUUACUCUCCUGUCCCAGACAACUGUCCUCCAGAUUUGUCACUAUCUGAGGGGUCCUAGGACAGGCAGUCACUAGAUACUUCUCCCAGCCACUAAGUUGUGACUGGAGAACUUUACUCUUUUCACAAGCCUUUCUAAUUAUGCCUUGAAAGCCCCACUCCUUUGUUAGGGAAAGACAUCCUAGCAAAAGCAGGGGCCAUUAUACACUUGAAUUAGAAGGAAAAAGGGUAAAUAUAUAUACAGCUCUAACUAUGCUUUGCUAGUCCUCCAUGCUCACAUAACAAUAUGGAGAGAAAGGUAUUCCCUCGAAAGUUAGGAAUUCCCUAUCAAAAUCAGGAAGCCAUUUAGGCCCCCAAAUUCUCCUUACCUCUGAGUCUACUUCCUCCGAUCCCUGCCCAAAGACAAUUUUAUGGGAAAGAGGAUUUGCUUGUGUCUCCCCAGGUGACAAUCAGGUGCCUAUGUGGGUGCCCACCAAACAUCUGAAGAUCUAUCAUGAGCCACAGCAUCUAGUGGUACCACCUGUACAGUGCAAAUUGAAGGAGAUGAAUGAACUGUGUGGAUGCCCUCAAGAUGUGUAUGACCAUGGAACGGGAGACUGGAGGGAUCCAUGGAUCCCAACCAUGCACCAGGUUCCCCCAGUAUGAGCCAUGAGCCAGUUGAAUCUGAAUGCUAAGAUGGAAGGAGGACCAACCAGAGUCAACAAUGCUUAAUGGAUCAAUGCUUUCUAACUCAGCUCCUCUCUACCCUGAAUACAAGAGACCCUAAUAGUUAGGCAGGAGUAUCAUCGCCCCUAUUCAGCAUGAAGUUACAGAAGACGGAGCUUCAUCCUCCUGCAACCCCUAGGAUUAAGGGUCCUCUUGUAAAAGGAAAAGGGGAAAUAUGUGGGAAGCAUUCGAACCAGAGGUGACUCCAGUCUGAAUAAGCGCUAAGAAAAAUGAAGCUGGAUCACCAACUGGCAAUUAAGGGCUGCACAGCCUGCAAUUGCCUUGUUCAAUUAAAAGAGGCCACCUCUUAUGCUAGUAAUAAUGAUAGCAAUAAUACCUUCUCUUUUACUAAAAAGAAAGGGGGGGCAUGUUGGGGAAAAAGCUGAGUGUUGGGAGGGAAACUGAGGCAGGGCUUGCAUUUGUCCUCUGGAAUGUGUCUAGACUUGCUGGCUCCUUGCUUCUAGCCCUUCUAGACUCCUAUUCCCAUUAUCUCAAGUAGCAGAAAACAUGUUCCUUAUAAUGCUAAACCGUCACAGCUGUAAAUCAUGUGCUUAAUGCAACGUGUCCUUUUGACCUCCACAUUCUCACCACCUGUUUGUUGGAUUACCAAUAAAUACCAUGGGCUCAGAGCUUGUGGCCUUCGCAGCCUCCAUAUAAUAGUGAUGGCCCCCUGGUGUGCAACCUUUUUUUUUCUCUCACUGUCUUUUUCUCAAUCCUUUGACUCUGCCGGACUUUGUUACCCCCACGACCUGGUGUUGGGUCUCAUCACCCCAACAAAUUUAUAGUUAUUCUCUAACUCUUAAUAUUAUGUAAUAAUUGAUAGCACAUUUAAAUGAUUUGCUGAUUGUCACACUUGCUCAUUAUAAACCUUAGGUUAUUACAAUGAUAAUGACAUUGGAAACCAAAGGAAUUGCAAUACUGUGUUUAUUCUUUGUGCUGAGUUUCAAGAAAACUUGUGUCACAAGGCAUGUGGAACAUUCUAAAAUUCAGCUAGGCAAAUGGACCUUUGCCUUCACUAUAUCUCCAAUGACCACCAAGCACUAUAUAGGGUUGUGAUGGAUAAUGCAUUACUUACCUCUCAGAUGAGAAGCACGUAAACCUUGGCUUUCUCAUAGAGAUUAUUUUAAAAGCUGUUCUGGGUCACAAGCUGAUGAGGGACUCUCAACAUAAAAGUAAAGAAACAUGUUCCAUGCAGUUCUUUAGGAAAUUUGCUUCACAUUUACAGCAUCUAACAUUAGGAAUUUAAAUAACCUAUUACAUUUUUUACCAAAAGGACCUUUUUCUCUACACUGAUCCACUACAGAAAUGAUUGCCUGUCAUUUGCUUUAUAUAUCUUUGAAUUUUUACAUUUUCUUCCACAAAACUAAGAUAUAAGCUACUCAAGAGAAAAAAAUGUUUUUUGUUAUAACCCUAUCAGCUCUUAAACAAUAGUAUUCUCUUCAAAGCUGGUUAAGGUGUAUUUGUUUUGAGUGACUGUUUGAUAUAUACUUGCUCUCUAAUGCCUACAUACUGAGGACCUGCCUCAGGAUGAAUCUAGGUGUCUACUCACAUUUACAGAACAUACCAAGAGCCAAUUGUGUAUAUUAAGUAUAAAUUUACACAAAAGUCUUAAAAAUAACAAGCCCAAAUCUGUUUGCAUAAAUCAAGCCAUAACUUUUAUAAAGGUUAUAACAUUUACGUUUCUACUGAAAUAUGUGCCAAGUUACAGCUUAGAUAUUUUUACUAUACAUUUAAAAAAUAAACUUUCCGCCAUCCAUUAGCAGACUUGAACAAUAAAAAGUGGAGAUCAUAUGAAACUCUGUUGAUAUGGUCUUUCCUCCCUUUUGGCAAAGAACGAUUAAUCAAAAAGUGAGGUCUAUACUCAUCCUUGACAAUGAUUGAGCUUGUGAGAACUUCGAAUAGAGGAAUAAAGUUAAAAGUUACACUUUUGAUAUCAAAGGUCAUGCAGCUUUAGCCUGCUUCUCUUGAGAUUCUUGCCCUCGGUGAAUACAGCUGCUAUGCAAGAAGUUUGAUUGCUUUGAGACAGA
rnacentral:lncRNA from 10 species